rnacentral:rRNA from 1 species
CCUACGGGUGGCUGCAGUGGGGGAUAUUGCACAAUGGGGGGAACCCUGAUGCAGCGACGCCGCGUGUGGGAAGACGGUCCUCUGGAUUGUAAACCACUUUCCCCAGGGACGAAAAUGACGGUACCUGGGGAGGAAGCUCCGGCUAACUACGUGCCAGCAGCCGCGGUAAUACGUAGGGAGCGAGCGUUGUCCGGAAUUACUGGGUGUAAAGGGAGCGUAGGCGGGGAUGCAAGUUGGGUGUCAAAACUACCGGCUAAACUGGUAGUCGCACUCAAAACUGGAGCUCUUGAGUGAAGUAGAGGCAGGCGGAAUUCCUAGUGUAGCGGUGAAAUGCGUAGAUAUUAGGAGGAACACCAGUGGCGAAGGCGGCCUGCUGGGCUUUUACUGACGCUGAGGCUCGAAAGUGUGGGGAGCAAACAGGAUUAGAUACCCUUGUAGUC